GGUUCAGCACCAGCGGAGUCCUCUCGUCGUACAAGAAUUCUACGCGAUCCGGGAAUCCUCUUCCCAACAUCUGCGGAGAUCCAUCCUGAGAGCCGCCUCCGCUUUUAGAAGGGCCCUCGGGAACGGGGGUCCCAUCACAUCGACCUUCAUCCCCCGCGGCUGUCCUCCUAGUCUUCUUCUUGGGACACCCUUCAGAUGACCCCCGAGUAGAAUCGAUCGGGCCAAGUCUUCCCAUAUCAUCACUCCCCAUAGCCGCUGAGGUCCCCGCUGGUUCCAUAAAAGUCUCCUCGCGAGACCUCUUCUUGCCGUCUUUCUUCUUCUUCUUUUUUUUUGCCGCGACUUCAGAGGCAUCAGCG
rnacentral:lncRNA from 1 species